UACAGAGGGGGCAAGCGUUGUUCGGAUUUACUGGGCGUAAAGGGCGCGUAGGCGGCGUGUUAAGUCACUUGUGAAAUCUCUAAGCUUAACUUAGAAACGGUCAAGUGAUACUGAUGUGCUAGAGUGCAGAAGGGGGCAACCGGAAUUCUUGGUGUAGCGGUGAAAUUCGUAGAUAUCAAGCGGAACACCGGUGGCGAAGGCGGCCUUCUGGACAGUGACUGACGCUGAGACGCGAAAAGCGUGGGUAGCAA
rnacentral:rRNA from 1 species